rnacentral:tRNA from 1 species
UGCGGCGGCACGUUCGGAAUUGUUUCCUGUUGGCUCAUAACCCAGAGGUCGCAGGUUCAAAUCCUGUCCCCGCUACCA